GAUGAACGCUGGCGGCGUGCCUAAUACAUGCAAGUCGAGCGAACGGACGAGAAGCUUGCUUCUCUGAUGUUAGCGGCGGACGGGUGAGUAACGCGUGGAUAACCUACCUAUAAGACUGGGAUAACUUCGGGAAACCGGAGCUAAUACCGGAUAAUAUUUUGAACCGCAUGGUUCAAAAGUGAAAGACGGUCUUGCUGUCACUUAUAGAUGGAUCCGCGCUGCAUUAGCUAGUUGGUAAGGUAACGGCUUACCAAGGCAACGAUGCAUAGCCGACCUGAGAGGGUGAUCGGCCACACUGGAACUGAGACACGGUCCAGACUCCUACGGGAGGCAGCAGUAGGGAAUCUUCCACAAUGGGCGAAAGCCUGACGGAGCAACGCCGCGUGAGUGAUGAAGGUCUUCGGAUCGUAAAACUCUGUUAUUAGGGAAGAACAUAUGUGUAAGUAACUGUGCACAUCUUGACGGUACCUAAUCAGAAAGCCACGGCUAACUACGUGCCAGCAGCCGCGGUAAUACGUAGGUGGCAAGCGUUAUCCGGAAUUAUUGGGCGUAAAGCGCGCGUAGGCGGUUUUUUAAGUCUGAUGUGAAAGCCCACGGCUCAACCGUGGAGGGUCAUUGGAAACUGGAAAACUUGAGUGCAGAAGAGGAAAGUGGAAUUCCAUGUGUAGCGGUGAAAUGCGCAGAGAUAUGGAGGAACACCAGUGGCGAAGGCGACUUUCUGGUCUGUAACUGACGCUGAUGUGCGAAAGCGUGGGGAUCAAACAGGAUUAGAUACCCUGGUAGUCCACGCCGUAAACGAUGAGUGCUAAGUGUUAGGGGGUUUCCGCCCCUUAGUGCUGCAGCUAACGCAUUAAGCACUCCGCCUGGGGAGUACGACCGCAAGGUUGAAACUCAAAGGAAUUGACGGGGACCCGCACAAGCGGUGGAGCAUGUGGUUUAAUUCGAAGCAACGCGAAGAACCUUACCAAAUCUUGACAUCCUUUGACAACUCUAGAGAUAGAGCCUUCCCCUUCGGGGGACAAAGUGACAGGUGGUGCAUGGUUGUCGUCAGCUCGUGUCGUGAGAUGUUGGGUUAAGUCCCGCAACGAGCGCAACCCUUAAGCUUAGUUGCCAUCAUUAAGUUGGGCACUCUAAGUUGACUGCCGGUGACAAACCGGAGGAAGGUGGGGAUGACGUCAAAUCAUCAUGCCCCUUAUGAUUUGGGCUACACACGUGCUACAAUGGACAAUACAAAGGGCAGCGAAACCGCGAGGUCAAGCAAAUCCCAUAAGGUUGUUCUCAGUUCGGAUUGUAGUCUGCAACUCGACUACAUGAAGCUGGAAUCGCUAGUAAUCGUAGAUCAGCAUGCUACGGUGAAUACGUUCCCGGGUCU
rnacentral:rRNA from 1 species